GACGAACGCUGGCGGCGUGCCUAAUACAUGCAAGUAGAACGCUGAAGGAGGAGCUUGCUCUUCUGGAUGAGUUGCGAACGGGUGAGUAACGCGUAGGUAACCUGCCUGGUAGCGGGGGAUAACUAUUGGAAACGAUAGCUUAUACCGCAUAACAACAGUUGUUGCAUGACUGCUGUUUAAAAGAUGCAAUUGCAUCACUACCAGAUGGACCUGCGUUGUAUUAGCUAGUUGGUGAGGUAACGGCUCACCAAGGCAACGAUACAUAGCCGACCUGAGAGGGUGAUCGGCCACACUGGGACUGAGACACGGCCCAGACUCCUACGGGAGGCAGCAGUAGGGAAUCUUCGGCAAUGGACGGAAGUCUGACCGAGCAACGCCGCGUGAGUGAAGAAGGUUUUCGGAUCGUAAAGCUCUGUGUAAGAGAAGAACGAGUGUGAGAGUGAAAGUUCACAC
rnacentral:rRNA from 1 species